rnacentral:rRNA from 1 species
UACAGAGGGUGCGAGCGUUGUUCGGAAUUAUUGGGCGUAAAGAGCUCGUAGGCGGUUCGGCAAGUCGGGUGUGAAAUUUCGAGGCUCAACCUCGAAACGCCACUCGAUACUGCUGUGACUGGAGUCCGGUAGAGGAGUGCGGAAUUCCUGGUGUAGCGGUGAAAUGCGCAGAUAUCAGGAGGAACACCAACGGCGAAGGCAGCACUCUGGGCCGGUACUGACGCUGAGGAGCGAAAGCGUGGGGAGCAAACAGG